UACAGGGGGGGCAAGCGUUGUUCGGAAUUACUGGGCGUAAAGGGCUCGUAGGUGGCCAACUAAGUCAGACGUGAAAUCCCUCAGCUUAACUGGGGAACUGCGUCUGAUACUGGAUGGCUUGGAUUCGGGAGAGGAAUGCGGAAUUCCAGGUGUAGCGGUGAAAUGCGUAGAUAUCUGGAGGAACACCGGUGGCGAAGGCGGCAUCCUGGACCGACACUGACGCUGAGGAGCGAAAGCCAGGGGAGCAAACGGG
rnacentral:rRNA from 1 species